GAUUAUCGAAGGAAAGUGACCUUAAUUCAUAAUC
rfam:Flavobacteriaceae bacterium (ex Bugula neritina AB1) isolate AB1-1 AB832_contig000194, whole genome shotgun sequence.